AAGAUUUUAAUUGAAUGCUAAAAGAAUGGAAAUUUAAAAAAAAACUUUUUUAAAAAUAAAAAUUGAAUUUUUUUUAAUUUGUGCAAAAACAAUUAUUAUUAUUAAAGACAAGAAGACCCUAAGAAUUUAUGAUUUUGUAAUUAGAAUUUUUUUCAAAAAAUCUUGAUUGGGGCGAUCAAAAAAUAUUAAUAACUUUUUAAAUUUAAAUUGAUCUAUUAUUAAUAAACUAAUGAAUUAAAUACUCUAGGGAUAACAGCGUAAUAAUUUUUGAUAGAUCUUAUUGACAAAAUAGUUUGCGACCUCGAUGUUGGAUUAGGAUCCUUUUUUAAUGAAAAAAUUAAAAAAAGAAGUUUGUUCAACUUUUAAAUUCCUACUU
rnacentral:rRNA from 1 species